ACGGGUGAGUAAUGCGUAGGAACCUACCCGAGAGAGGGGGACAACCAAGGGAAACUUUGGCUAAUACCGCAUAAACUCGGAAGAGAAAAGUUGCCCGCGAGGGUGACGCUUUUGGAGGGGCCUGCGUCCGAUUAGCUAGUUGGUAGGGUAAAAGCCUACCAAGGCAAAGAUCGGUAACUGGUCUGAGAGGACGACCAGUCACACUGGGACUGAGACACGGCCCAGACUCCUACGGGAGGCAGCAGUGGGGAAUCUUGGACAAUGGGGGCAACCCUGAUCCAGCGAUGCCGCGUGGGUGAAGAAGGCCUUCGGGUUGUAAAGCCCUUUAGGUUGGGAAGAAGUGUGUUGUCUGAUAAGGAUGAUGCAUUGACGGUACCGACAGAAUAAGCACCGGCAAACUCUGUGCCAGCAGCCGCGGUAAUACAGAGGGUGCGAGCGUUAAUCGGAGUUACUGGGCGUAAAGGGCGCGUAGGCGGAUAUAUGAGUGUGAUGUGAAAGCCCUGGGCUUAACCUGGGAAGUGCAUCGCAAACGAUAUAUCUGGAGUACAAGAGAGGGUGGCGGAAUUUCCGGUGUAGC
rnacentral:rRNA from 1 species